CGGCAUUUAAAACUAUUAAAGGAACUUGUUUUAGAAACGAUAUCACCCGAUAAUUUUCACUUAUAUUAACAAUUUAUAUACCGCUGUUUCCAGUUAGCAACUCCACCAAAAAACAAAAUUAACCGUGAAAAUAUAUCAAGUCAAGGUGUAAUCUAUAUGUAAGAAAAAAUGAGUUACAUUAAAUAGUCAUUUUAGGACUUAAUAUUUAAAAAAUUAACAAAAAAGAAUUCAAAAGUAUUUUAAAAUUAAAAAAUAUAAUUAAAUUUAAUACAAAUGUGC
rnacentral:rRNA from 1 species